UACGGAGGGUGCAAGCGUUGUCCGGAUUUAUUGGGUUUAAAGGGUGCGUAGGUGGCGCCGUAAGUCGGGUGUGAAAUUUCGGAGCUUAACUCCGAAACUGCAUUCGAUACUGCGGUGCUUGAGGACUGGAGAGGAGACUGGAAUUCAUGGUGUAGCAGUGAAAUGCGUAGAGAUCAUGAGGAAGACCAGUGGCGAAGGCGGGUCUCUGGACAGUUCCUGACACUGAGGCACGAAGGCCAGGGGAGCAAACGGG
rnacentral:rRNA from 1 species